UCCAAACCUUGUUCAAAUAUGAUGACUUUCUCUUUGAGCACUUUAAAUACAAAAACUCUUCUACCAUCAAACCUGUUGCAAGUAAGUACCAAAAUGAAGAAUAAAACUUAACUAAAUAUAGCUGCAGUAUUCAAAAGGGCUAAGGAGAAGGAAUGACUGAGAGGAGAGAUAAGUGCCGACUCUUUCCAUCACCCUUAUGGAUUCUCUCUACACUGUGCCUGGGCAGGGUGACUGCUUCUAGGGUGAUGUGAAUGAUUGAUUUUUAAGUUCAGCCUGCAACAUGAUGCUGCAGCCAGUAAAGCGAGCAAAACGCUGGCUUGCAUCCAUAGAUGCUUCUCAGUUAUAAACUUCAAAUGUAUUGCACAUACUGAAAUGCUGGUUUCAGUGUACGGAAAAUACUUCUGUAGAGAGCUAAAGGACCAGAAGGAUGAAAACACAUUGAAACAUAAUUCAGUCAAAAGUUAUUACUGUGUUAUCAAGAACAGUCAAACGCAGAAGAGAUGUAAAAGCAAAAUCCAGCAUAAGAACAUUAUGUGCACUCCUGGCUUGACUGCAACAACCUUCAAUAAAUCCUUAAACCCCUCUCACCCCAAAAACAAAG
rnacentral:lncRNA from 1 species